AACGAGCGCAACCCUUGUCUUUAGUUGCCAUCAUUAAGUUGGGCACUCUAGAGAGACUGCCAGGGAUAACCUGGAGGAAGGUGGGGAUGACGUCAAAUCAUCAUGCCCCUUAUGCUUAGGGCUACACACGUGCUACAAUGGGUAGUACAGAGGGUUGCCAAGCCGUAAGGUGGAGCUAAUCCCUUAAAGCUACUCUUAGUUCGGAUUGUAGGCUGAAACUCGCCUACAUGAAGCUGGAGUUACUAGUAAUCGCAGAUCAGAAUGCUGCGGUGAAUGCGUUCCCGGGUCUUGUACACACCGCCCGUCACACCAGGGGAGUUGGAG
rnacentral:rRNA from 1 species